rnacentral:rRNA from 1 species
AGCGAACGCUGGCGGCAGGCUUAACACAUGCAAGUCGAGCGGGCAUCCUUGUGGUGUCAGCGGCAGACGGGUGAGUAACGCGUGGGAACGUGCCCUUCGGUUCGGAAUAACUCAGGGAAACUUGAGCUAAUACCGGAUACGUGCGAGAGCAGAAAGGUUUAUCUGCCGAAGGAUCGGCCCGCGUCUGAUUAGCUAGUUGGUGAGGUUACGGCUCACCAAGGCGAGGAUCAGUAGCUGGUCUGAGAGGAUGAUCAGCCACACUGGGACUGAGACACGGCCCAGACUCCUACGGGAGGCAGCAGUGGGGAAUAUUGGACAAUGGGGGCAACCCUGAUCCAGCCAUGCCGCGUGAGUGAUGACGGCCUUAGGGUUGUAAAGCUCUUUUCUCCGGGACGAUAAUGACGGUACCGGAGGAAUAAGCCCCGGCUAACUUCGUG